UCUUAUCGAUGAGCAAAGAAGGUGGUUUCUUGGGAUGGAACCUACUCCCGGUGGAGAUGCUGUGAA
rnacentral:pre_miRNA from 1 species